CUUGCUUCUGGCAUCUUCACAAAUGACACAUUGAAAUCCUUGAAAGCCUUUAUUGCUUUCAUGUAAAUCUCAUUGGACACCCCUUCCAUAUUGUUUAAAAUGUCCAAGCAAAUAACAUUUGAAUAAGAAUCUGGACUAGUAACUUCAUUAUCCGAUUGACAACUAUCUUUUCCUUUGAUCUUUGCAAGCUUCUCUUUUAGGUAAAGUGUUCUAAGUUCAGUUUCUUCAUUCCUCAAACUAACUGUAGAUGACCACUGUGCCACACAGGCCUCGAGUUUAUCACUUUUACUGACUUUAGGUUCCUUACGUUGUCGUUCACCCGAUGUACCA
rnacentral:lncRNA from 1 species